rnacentral:rRNA from 1 species
UGGCGAACGGGUGAGUAACACGUGAGCAACGUGCCCAAGACUCUGGAAUAACUUCGGGAAACCGGAGCUAAUACUGGAUACGAGACGUAAAGGCAUCUUUAGCGUCUGGAAAGAAUUUCGGUCUUGGAUCGGCUCACGGCCUAUCAGCUUGUUGGUGAGGUAAUGGCUCACCAAGGCGACGACGGGUAGCCGGCCUGAGAGGGUGACCGGCCACACUGGGACUGAGACACGGCCCAG